rnacentral:rRNA from 1 species
ACUUUGGCAAGUCCCCAUUUGGACUCUUUGGGCUUUCAAGCUUGCCCCUCUAAGUUGGCGCACAGCCCGCUCCUCCUCGCCCCCUGCCCGCUGCCCGCCGCAAGCGCGUGCGGGCGCAGCAGGAGAGCGGCAGGCCGGGCUUGCGCACGUGAAGAGGGGAACAUCCUGCAGCGCUGGGCAACCCGCGGCCAGAUUCCGGGCGCCUCCUCUGGCGCGCGCGAGCAGCGCGCGCCUGGGCGCCUCAGGGCCGGCCGGGCUGUCUGCCAUGCUGUCUCCGCGACCCGGCGCUGAGCGAGCGCAAGCCGGGCGGCGUUCGUGCCUGCCGUUUGGGCUGCAGGCCUGGCUCACGGCCUGGGCCCGGGCGGGCCGACGACCGCCGCCGCGAGAGCCUGUCUGGGUGCCGCGCGGGCAGCCGCUGCGAUAUCGAAGCCCAUGAAAGUCCUGGGCAGAACUUUGUGCCUGGU